GAUGAAGAACGUAGCGAAAUGCGAUAAGUAAUGUGAAUUGCAGAAUUCAGUGAAUCAUCGAAUCUUUGAACGCACAUUGCGCCCGCCAGUAUUCUGGCGGGCAUGCCUGUUCGAGCGUCAUUUCAACCCUCAAGCCCAGCUUGGUGUUGGGGAUCGGCACAGGCGCCCUCGGGCGCCCGCCGUCCCCUAAAUCUAGUGGCGGUCCCGCUGCAGCCUCCUCUGCGUAGUAGUUUUCUCCUCGCAAGGGCAGCUCGGUGGCGACCUCGCCGUAAAACCCCCAACUUCUGAAAGGUUGACCUCGAAUCAGGCAGGAAUACCCGCUGAACUUAAGCAUAUCAAUAAGCGGAGGA
rnacentral:misc_RNA from 1 species